rnacentral:rRNA from 1 species
CCUACGGGAGGCUGCAGUGGGGAAUAUUGGACAAUGGGCGAAAGCCUGAUCCAGCCAUGCCGCGUGUGUGAAGAAGGCCUUCGGGUUGUAAAGCACUUUCAGUGGGGAAGAAAGCCUUGGGGCUAAUACCCUCGAGGAAGGACAUCACCCACAGAAGAAGCACCGGCUAACUCCGUGCCAGCAGCCGCGGUAAUACGGAGGGUGCGAGCGUUAAUCGGAAUUACUGGGCGUAAAGCGCGCGUAGGCGGUCUGAUAAGCCGGUUGUGAAAGCCCCGGGCUCAACCUGGGAACGGCAUCCGGAACUGUCAGGCUAGAGUGCAGGAGAGGAAGGUAGAAUUCCCGGUGUAGCGGUGAAAUGCGUAGAGAUCGGGAGGAAUACCAGUGGCGAAGGCGGCCUUCUGGACUGACACUGACGCUGAGGUGCGAAAGCGUGGGUAGCAAACAGGAUUAGAUACCCUAGUAC